rnacentral:rRNA from 1 species
CAAUAGCGUAUAUUAAAGUUGUUGCGGUUAAAAAGCUCGUAGUUGGAUUUCUGCUGUGGGCAGCCGGUCCACACUAUGUGUGAGUAUCUGGUUCGACCACGGCAUCCUCCCGAAGAACGUUGGCGCGCUUCAUUGCGUGGCACGGUACUCGGGACUUUUACUUUGAGGAAAUUAGAGUGUUCACGGCAAGCAAGCGCGGGAAUACAUUAGCAUGGAAUAAUAAUAUAGGACCUUCGUUCUAUUUUGUUGGUUUCUAGAACUUAGGUAAUGAUUAAUAGGGACAAUUGGGGGCAUUCGUAUUAACGCGUCAGAGGUGGAAUUCUUGGAUUGCGUUACGACGAACUACUGCGAAAGCAUUUGCCAAAGAUGUUUUUCAUUGAUCAAGAACGAAAGUAUGGGGAUCGAAGAUGAUCAGAU